rnacentral:rRNA from 1 species
GGAUGCGGGAUUGCACAGACAACCAGGAUGUUGGCUUAGAAGCAGCCACUCAUUCAAAGAGUGCGUAAUAGCUCACUGGUCGAGUGAUCCUGCGCCGAAGAUUUCCGGGGCUAAAACUUACUACCGAAGCUACGGCAUCAGUAAUGAUGGGUAGGGGAGCGUCCCAUACGGGUUGAAGCAUGACCGUAAGGACAUGUGGACAGUAUGGGAGUGAGAAUGUUGGCAUGAGUAGCGAGAUGUGGGUGAGAAUCCAACAGGCCGUAAACCUAGGUUUCCAGGGGAAGGUUCGUCCGCCC